GGACUUGUAGCUCAAUGGCAGAGCGACCAGUCGUAUUAUAAACUUUGGUGUCUUGCAGGUUCAAAUCCUACCAAGUCCG
rnacentral:tRNA from 1 species